rnacentral:rRNA from 1 species
GGGUUGUGAGGUUAAGCGACUAAGCGUACACGGUGGAUGCCACUGGCAGUCAGAGGCGAUGAAGGACGUGCUAAUCUGCGAAAAGCGUCGGUAAGGUGAUAUGAACCGUUAUAACCGGCGAUGUCCGAAUGGGGAAACCCAGUGCAAUUCGUUGCACUAUCGUUAACUGAAUACAUAGGUUAACGAGGCGAACCGGGGGAACUGAAACAUCUAAGUACCCCGAGGAAAAGAAAUCAACCGAGAUUCCCCCAGUAGCGGCGAGCGAACGGGGAGCAGCCCAGAGUCUGAAUCAGCUUGUGUGUUAGUGGAACGGUCUGGAAAGUCCGACGGUACAGGGUGAUAGUCCCGUACACCAAAAUGCACAGGUUGUGAACUCGAAGAGUAGGGCGGGACACGUGGUAUCCUGUCUGAAUAUGGGGGGACCAUCCUCCAAGGCUAAAUACUCCUGACUGACCGAUAGUGAACCAGUACCGUGAGGGAAAGGCGAAAAGAACCCCGGCGAGGGGAGUGAAAAAGAACCUGAAACCGUGUACGUACAAGCAGUGGGAGCACCUUCGGGUGUGACUGCGUACCUUUUGUAUAAUGGGUCAGCGACUUAUAUUCUGUAGCAAGGUUAACCGUAUAGGGGAGCCGCAGGGAAACCGAGUCUUAACUGGGCGUUAAGUUGCAGGGUAUAGACCCGAAACCCGGUGAUCUAGCCAUGGGCAGGUUGAAGGUUGGGUAACACUAACUGGAGGACCGAACCGACUAAUGUUGAAAAAUUAGCGGAUGACUUGUGGCUGGGGGUGAAAGGCCAAUCAAACCGGGAGAUAGCUGGUUCUCCCCGAAAGCUAUUUAGGUAGCGCCUCGUGAACUCAUCUUCGGGGGUAGAGCACUGUUUCGGCUAGGGGGUCAUCCCGACUUACCAACCCGAUGCAAACUACGAAUACCGAAGAAUGUUAUCACGGGAGACACACGGCGGGUGCUAACGUCCGUCGUGAAGAGGGAAACAACCCAGACCGCCAGCUAAGGUCCCAAAGUCAUGGUUAAGUGGGAAACGAUGUGGGAAGGCACAGACAGCCGGGAUGUUGGCUUAGAAGCAGCCAUCAUUUAAAGAAAGCGUAAUAGCUCACUGGUCGAGUCGGCCUGCGCGGAAGAUGUAACGGGGCUAAACCAUGCACCGAAGCUGCGGCAGCGACACUAUGUGUUGUUGGGUAGGGGAGCGUUCUGUAAGCCUGCGAAGGUGUGCUGUGAGGCAUGCUGGAGGUAUCAGAAGUGCGAAUGCUGACAUAAGUAACGAUAAAGCGGGUGAAAAGCCCGCUCGCCGGAAGACCAAGGGUUCCUGUCCAACGUUAAUCGGGGCAGGGUGAGUCGACCCCUAAGGCGAGGCCGAAAGGCGUAGUCGAUGGGAAACAGGUUAAUAUUCCUGUACUUGGUGUUACUGCGAAGGGGGGACGGAGAAGGCUAUGUUAGCCGGGCGACGGUUGUCCCGGUUUAAGCAUGUAGGCUGGUUAUCCGGGCAAAUCCGGAUAAUCAAGGCUGAGGUGUGAUGACGAGGCACUACGGUGCUGAAGUAACAAAUGCCCUGCUUCCGGGAAAAGCCUCUAAGCAUCAGGUAACAUUAAAUCGUACCCCAAACCGACACAGGUGGUCAGGUAGAGAAUACCAAGGCGCUUGAGAGAACUCGGGUGAAGGAACUAGGCAAAAUGGUGCCGUAACUUCGGGAGAAGGCACGCUGGUGUGUAGGUGAAGUCCCUGCGGAUGGAGCUGAGACCAGUCGAAGAUACCAGCUGGCUGCAACUGUUUAUUAAAAACACAGCACUGUGCAAACACGAAAGUGGACGUAUACGGUGUGACGCCUGCCCGGUGCCGGAAGGUUAAUUGAUGGGGUUAUCCGUAAGGAGAAGCUCUUGAUCGAAGCCCCGGUAAACGGCGGCCGUAACUAUAACGGUCCUAAGGUAGCGAAAUUCCUUGUCGGGUAAGUUCCGACCUGCACGAAUGGCGUAAUGAUGGCCAGGCUGUCUCCACCCGAGACUCAGUGAAAUUGAACUCGCUGUGAAGAUGCAGUGUACCCGCGGCAAGACGGAAAGACCCCGUGAACCUUUACUAUAGCUUGACACUGAACAUUGAGCCUUGAUGUGUAGGAUAGGUGGGAGGCUUUGAAGCGUGGACGCCAGUCUGCGUGGAGCCAACCUUGAAAUACCACCCUUUAAUGUUUGAUGUUCUAACGUUGGCCCCUUACCGGGGUUGCGGACAGUGUCUGGUGGGUAGUUUGACUGGGGCGGUCUCCUCCCAAAGCGUAACGGAGGAGCACGAAGGUUAGCUAAUCCUGGUCGGACAUCAGGAGGUUAGUGCAAUGGCAUAAGCUAGCUUGACUGCGAGCGUGACGGCGCGAGCAGGUGCGAAAGCAGGUCAUAGUGAUCCGGUGGUUCUGAAUGGAAGGGCCAUCGCUCAACGGAUAAAAGGUACUCCGGGGAUAACAGGCUGAUACCGCCCAAGAGUUCAUAUCGACGGCGGUGUUUGGCACCUCGAUGUCGGCUCAUCACAUCCUCGGGGCUGAAGUAGGUCCCAAGGGUAUGGCUGUUCGCCAUUUAAAGUGGUACGCGAGCUGGGUUUAGAACGUCGUGAGACAGUUCGGUCCCUAUCUGCCGUGGGCGCUGGAGAAUUGAGGGGGGCUGCUCCUAGUACGAGAGGACCGGAGUGGACGCAUCACUGGUGUUCGGGUUGUCAUGCCAAUGGCACUGCCCGGUAGCUAAAUGCGGAAGAGAUAAGUGCUGAAAGCAUCUAAGCACGAAACUUGCCCCGAGAUGAGUUCUCCCUGAGACUUUAAGUCUCCUGAAGGAACGUUAAAGACGAUGACGUUGAUAGGCCGGGUGUGUAAGCGCAGCGAUGCGUUGAGCUAACCGGUACUAAUGAACCGUGAGGCUUAACCUUACAACGCCGAAG